rnacentral:rRNA from 1 species
UAGAUACCCUGGUAGUCCACGCCGUAAACGUUGGGCGCUAGAUGUGGGGACCAUUCCACGGUUUCCGUGUCGCAGCUAACGCAUUAAGCGCCCCGCCUGGGGAGUACGGCCGCAAGGCUAAAACUCAAAGGAAUUGACGGGGGCCCGCACAAGCGGCGGAGCAUGCGGAUUAAUUCGAUGCAACGCGAAGAACCUUACCAAGGCUUGACAUAUACGAGAACGCUCUAGAAAUAGAGAACUCUUUGGACAC